GUUACACCAAAAAAUUAAGUCAUAUUGAUGCGGUAAAAAGACAGUUAAGCAGUAAAUUUUAAGUUUCUUGAUUAUUUAUAAAAAAGUAAAAUUUGAAUAUAGUAUAAUAAUUUAAUAGAGGCUUUAUGGCUGAAUCUGUGACGGCUUUGAGGGAAACUGGGAUUGGAUACCCCAUUAUUCUUAGUUGUAAAUCUAAUUAAAUAGUUUACCGGAGUACUAUGAAUAAAAAAAUUUAAAACUCAAAGAGCUUGGCGGUGUUUUAGACCAUUCAGGGGAACCUGUCUCAUAAUCGACAAUCCGCGUUAAACCUAACCUUUUUUUGCAAUCAGUUUGUAUACCGUCGUCGUCAGGUAACUUCUAAAAGAUUAAAAGUUAGCUAGAGAAUUAGUAUAAAUUAAAACGUCAGAUCAGGGUGCAACCCAUAAAAAGGUGAGGAUGGGUUACAAUUAUUAAAUUAUAAUUACAGAGAGCCAUAAAAAUAAAUGACUUGAAGGAGGACUUGAAAGUAAUUUCGAUUAUAUAAAAACUUUGAAUAGGGCUCUGAAACGUGCACACAU
rnacentral:rRNA from 1 species